AACCAGCCUCUGAAAAGAGUGCGGACAGAGACUAGUCAAGUCCCAUCUUUGACAGAAAUUCACAUUUGUGUUGUAUUGUGGAUCUUGAGAAUAGUAAAAAUGUUCUUUCCUUUAAAAAAACAAUCCUAAGGUACAGUAAAUAUACGAGUAAAACGGGGAACUCCUUUUGUGGUCCAUAGAAAUUCAGGAGGGGCUGUCACCGUUGAAUCAGCUCCUCAGAGUAAAGAAAGCGCCUGAAUUACAUUUUCAGUACUUUAGGAGCUUUUCUUCACCAUAUUUGGAUUUCGUGGUUUUAAACCCUACCUGUAGUCUCUAUGGAUACACGACACACAGACACACAGUCUGUCAUCCUUCCUGUGCACGAUGCUGAGCCCUGGCUGGACGAGUGCCUGAGGUCCGUUUUGCAGCAGGACUUCCAAGGCUCCAUGGAGCUGUCGGUCUUUAAUGAUGCCAGUAGGGACAAGUCCAUGACUAUCAUUGAAAAAUGGAAAGUGAAGCUAGAAGGUUCUGGUAUCCCCGUGGUCGUUGGGGGGCACAGUUGGCCUUCUCCCCGAGGAGUUGGAUAUUCUAAAAAUCAAGCGAUAGCACAGAGCUCAGGAUCUUACCUUUGCUUUUUGGAUUCGGACGACGUGAUGAUGCCGCAGAGGGUGAGGCUACAACAUGAAGCUGCGGUCCGGCAUCCGACAAGCAUUAUAGGCUGCCAGGUGAGGAGGGAGCCUCCCAACUCCACUGAGCGGUACACACGUUGGAUCAACCAGCUGGCGUCUGAUCAGCUCCUGACCCAGGUUUUCACAUCCCACGGCCCGACUGUGGUCAUGCCCACGUGGUUCUGCUCUCGCGCAUGGUUUUCUCACGUGGGCCCGUUUGACGAGGGCGGGCGGGGCGUGCCUGAGGACCUGCUGUUCUUCUACGACCACCUGCGCAGGGGCGGCGGGGUCGUCCGCGUGGACCAGAGCCUGCUGCUGUAUCGCUUCCGGCCUGAUGCGGCCACGCACGCCGUCCUGGAAGUUUCAAAAUACAUGAAGCCAAAACUGACAGAAAUAAAGGGAGAAAUAGAGAAAUCCACAAUGACAGUUGAAGAUUUGAACACUCCUAUCUCAGUAAUUGAUAGAAGAAACAGGUGGGAAAUCUGUAAGGAUGCAGAAGAUACGAACAGCUGUAUUAACCUGCUGGACCUAAUCGACGUUUAUGGAACACUGCACUUAGAUGCAGAAUACGCGUUCUUUUAAAGUGCAACGUAGAUGGUAAUUUGGACCAAUAAAAAAAUCUGAAUAAAAUUCAAAUAAUUGCAGUCAUACAGGAUAUAUUUUAUGUCCACACAAAAUUAAAUUAGAAAUUAUUAAGCCAUCUUGAAAAUCCAAAAUAUUUGAAAAUUAACAACCAAGGGGGAAAAAAAUCACAAAGGACAUUCGAAAAAUUACAGUUUGGUGAAAAUUUAAAUGAUUAUGUCAACAUUUGUGGAAUUUAGCUAAAGCAGAGUUUAUAGUAAAAUUUUAUGGCUUUAAAGCUUAUAUUAUAAAACAAGAAACUAAGCAAUUACCUAAGUCUCCAUCUUUAAGUUACUAGAGUAAUGGCAAGGUAAACUCAAAGUAAAUAGAAGAAAAGAAAUGAACAACAGAAGAUGAUGAAAUUGAAAAUGGACAGUCAAUACAAAAAAAUCAGCCAAACUAAGAACUGAUGGUUUGAAAAAAAAAAUAAUUAAUAAACCUCUAGCAAGAUUGAGUUUUAAGAGAAAAUAUUGAUUACCAAUAUAUUUGGAAUGAAAGAGGGAACAUCACUACAGAUCCAUCAGAUAUUUACAGUAUAAAUAACUAAAAAUUAGAUUUAUAAUUCUAAAACUUUCCAUAAAGAGAAGCCAAGCCAGAUGGCUUUACUGUUGUAGUCUAUCAAAGAUUUAAGGAAAAAGUAAUACCAAUCUUACAUAAAUUCUUUCAGAAAAUAGAAGAGGAGAAAGAUCUGUUGGGUGUUGGGAGGGAUUUCUCACUCACCCCACAAGACCGGCGUGACUCCAACACCAAAAAAGCUACAAGAGCAUCACAAGAAAGUGAAAUGACAGCCCAGCAUCCCUUAUGAAAUAGAUGCAAAAAUCAGUCACAAAGUAUUACCAAGCCAAAAUCAGAAAUACAUAGGAGCAGAUAAUACAAGUCUGGUUUAACAUUAAAAAAUCAAUUAGCAUGAUUUACUCCGGUAACAGAAUAAAGGAUAAAAAUCCCAUGACCAACCCAGUAGAUGCAGGAAAGGAUUUGACACAAUUCCAUACCCAUUCAUGAUUUUAAAAAAACCUCACCAAACUAGAAAUAGAAACUUUCUCAAUCUGGUAAUAUCUACACAAAUCUACAACUAACCUUUUAAUUGAAGACUGAAAGCUUUCCCUCCUAAGAUCAGGAGACAGCAAGGCCUCACUACUUCUAUUCUACAUUGUAGUGAAGGUCAGUGUGAUACAAGAAAAAUCAUUAGGAAGUGGAAGUAAAACUCAUCAUUUCUGGAUGGCAUGAUUGUGCUUCCUAGGGAAUCAGAACCAGUAAUUUAGCAAGUUUUCCAGGACCCAAGUUCAAGAUACAUACACAAACACACACACACACACACGUAGGUAGAUAUAUACUAUCAAUGAACAAUUAAAAAUGCAGUUUAAAAAACGUACAAUCGCAUCAAAACUAAAUUGUUAAGGGGUAAAUCUAGCAAGGUAUGCAUAUCUAAAAAACAUAAGAUUGCUAAGGGGAGUUAACGAAAAGCCUAUAAUUUGACGGCGAGACAUACCACUUUCAUGGAUUGGAAGACUCCAUAUUGUUAACAUCAGGUUUCUGCAGAUUGUAGAUUCGUGAAUCCCAGUAACAGUCCUAGCUGGCUUCUUUGUAGAUACUGAUAAUCUGAUUCUGAAAUACACAGGGGAACUCAAGGCCCAAACAACCUUGAACUGAACAAAAUUUGAGGACACACAACCUAACUUUAAGACUUACUCUGAAGCUACAACAAUUAGGAAAAUGUAGUGAUAGCAUACAGGUAGACAAACCGAUCAAUGAAACAAUAGAGAAUCCAGAAAUAGACUCACAAUUAUAUAAUCAAUUGAUUUUCAUGGAAGACUCCAAAGACAUUCAAUGGGAAAAGGAAAAUAUUUUCAACAAAUGGAAAAACUGCAUUUUCAUAUGGAAAGAAAAAGAAUCUCACACUACAUAGAAAAGUUAAUUCUAGAUGGAUCUCUUAGAUAGAAAUAUAGAGGCAGCUAAAAUAUAAAGCAUCCAGAAGAAAACAUCAGGGAGUAGCUUCCCAACUUUGGGAUAGGCAGACUUUUAAUAGAGAAAACAUCAGAAUCAUUAACCAUUUGAAAAUUGAUAAAUUGGACUUCAUCAAAAUUAAAGACUUUUGCUCAUAAAAAGACACCAUUAGGAAACUGAGUUGGCAAACCACAAACUGGGAGAAGAAACUCACAAACACCCACCACCCAGGAUUAAAAAGGAAACAAUAAAAACAGACAAAAUACUUCAACGGAUACACUUCACAAAGCAAUAAUGUACAGUCAGUGAGCUAAUGGGAAAGUGCCCGUUCCCCUCAGAGAAAAGCAGGUUUGACCCGCAGCACACCCACUAGUAGGUGAAAAUGAGCACAUGACAAUUCCAAGUGGUGACAAGGCUGAGGGGCCACCGGAGCCUCACGUGCUCCCCCAGGCGUCGAAGUUGGAAAUCUGGUUGGCAUUUUCUUAUGCAUUAAGUUGCUAUCUGCCCUGUAACCCAGCAACUGCAUGUCUCCGUAUUUAUUCGAGAGAAAUUGAAAACAUUGCUUGAGUGUUAUUAACAAUAAGAACUGGGAACAGCCCAGAUGUCCAUCAGCAAUGAAUGGGGACAAGGACAUUAUAUGGUAACAGAAUGCUCAGCUUGGAAAGAAAAAAUGCUGACUCGCGCAAGACCUGUGGCUGGUAAGAAGCCAGACAGAAUCACGCAUCCUGAGGCUGCUGCUUACACGAGGUUCUCCAGCAGGUGGAACUUGGUGGUUUUCUCGGGAAGGGGGCACAUGGGGACUUCCUGGGGUGAUGGAAAUGCUGUACAGCUCGUGAAGUGUGGGUCACGUGGGUAGAUGUUCGUCGUAACCCCCUGACUUGCACAUACACUUCAGAUCCAUGCACUUCGCCGUGUAAAUUACACCUUCUUUAAAACUUAACACACUGGACACAUGUCUCUUCAGGGAAGGCACCCCAUAAAUGGACUUGGAAAUGGGGUGAGGAAAGCCCUGAGGUGCUUUUCUGGGCGCGAGUCGGGAGUCAUCCGUCUCAUCCUGAAGCUUUGCGCGCGGACGGCGGGUGGCGGCCCGUGGUGUGGGAGGCACCGGGCAGCAGGCCCGAGGCUGCUCCUCGUCCUGUUUGCGUGGGGUGCCUGUCUUCGAGGUUGAGGUCUCUUCCCUGUUUGCAGCAUGAGGCUUUGCCACCCACAGCUCGAAAGCAGUGACCUCAUGGCAGCUCGCGUCAGAUUAAAGUCCUUGAGCUCUGAGUGGGAAGCCCUCCGAGCAGCGGGCUUGUCGGAGCUGAACCCCUUCAGACUCUCUCCCCACGGCCCUCCAUUUGGUUCUUGUCCUUGUAAUUUUAAGUGAAGAAUGGUCAGCACUGAUGUCAUGGAGGAGUUUUCCCUGAAAUACUUCAGACAUCUGAAAGGCGUAACGGAGGAAUGUCUGUGAAGGAAGACGUUUCCCCCCGAACGCCUGCUGUCCCCACGCAGCCCAGGUCAGCACAGUCUGUCCUGAGCCUGGUGGUCAGCGCUCCCUCCAUUUCUUCACGCUUUUUUACUACGCGCAAUGUCUCUGUGAACAGCACCCUUCACCUCUUUAAACAUGUUCCACAAAUGGCAGUAUCCUGCUGCUUCCUGAGCGUGGCGUUUUCACUUACCUGGAGCUGAGCUCUCCCCGCUGAGCUCUCCCCGUGCUGCGAGUCCCCGCAGGGGCACAGCGGGUCGGCGCGUCCUGUGGCCCCGCUGCCUGCAGGGCAGGGACAUGUGUGUGACACUGCCACUGCUGCCAGAAAGUUUGGAGAUUCCAGCCUGGCUUGGGGGAAGCCUGCAGGCUGGUGCCUGUCAGCCCAUCUGGACACCCCGAACCGGCAGACGCCGCCCGGUGCCCCCGCCCACUCUCUCCUUGAAAGGAGAAGCGUUAGAAGUGACUGUCCCUGAGGCGGCCUGUUUCGUCCUCUCAGAUUUGUUUGCUGACCUUACAGCAUGAAGCUUACUGUUCUUUUCUUAGAAACGUCUUUCCUUUCCUUGGCUAUUGGUGAAGCUGCGUGUUUUGUGGUGUUUCUUUGGCUUGGAGUGUGUGAGCUUGUGUGUUUCUUUCCCAAAUGAGGUGCCAUGUGGCCGGGCUUAGGGAGUCAGCCCCUUCAGGGCCCCAGUAACGCCUCCCACAUCACGGCCACCAGCACAACUCUAAUCGAAAUGUCCAGUUUAAAAUGGCAGGUGGGCAGACAACAGUCAGAACCUGCCUGACAGAAAGGCUGCGCCGCCCUGCGAGAGCUGGACCGCAUGCACCCAGCCAGGUCCAGACCCCCCCACCGCUGCUCCCUGGCGGUGCCGGCGGGGCAUUCGGAAGGUGGGGCAGCAGUGGCCUCUGCGCCUGGCCUGAGGACGUGCCCUGGGGACACAGCUGCCUGUGACACAGAUACAGGAAGGGCUGGGAGGUGAGCUUCCAGGUGUAACUCUGUGAUGUCAUCAAGUGCGGUGCAGCCCUCUCUCACCACAGAUUUCUCAGGGAAGGAAGACGCAGUUCAGGUUUGGUCCACUGUGUGUCCACAGAACCCCCUCAACCUUCCAGAUUUCUGGGUGGUGGCCUCAGUGUAUGACAGGCCCUGGGCCCUUCUCUGCGUCUGGCCAUGCUAACCUGGGGACAGCUGAAUGUGGCGGGCUGGGGCAGCGCAGACCACCCUGGCCGGGCCUGGGCCUCCGUGUCUGUGUGCAGCAGGGGCCGCUGGAGGGGUCCCGCCUAGAGAGACAACCUGGCCAUCUGGGCAGCUUCCAGGGGACAUGGAGCCACGUGGUGGCUUGAGGGGUGUGCCCAGUCCCCUCUGCUCCUGUGUACUACGGAGGCAGGUGCCCAGUGCUAGGAUGGCCACGACUCCUGGGGCUCCCCAGGGCCUGUGCCUGGUGUCUGCCGCGCUUCCUGAGCCUGUGGACAUGAAGACAGUGCGUCCAAGGGUCCCUGUGGGACGUGAGGAUGGACAAGGCAGUGGAGCCCUGGCCGUGCUGUUCUGGGUUCAUUGGCCCAUUCAGCCCAACAGCUGCUGAGUGUUGGGGAUGGAUGCAGCCCGCUGGCGCCAAGGAGCACCAUCUGGACCCACCGCGUCUGCUUCCUGGAAGAGCGGGCCCUGCGGCACUGGACCACCUUCACCAUCUGGAACGCGGGCC